AGUGGGAUAGCUGGAUCAAAUGGUGGUUCCAUUCCCAGUUUUCCAAGGAAUCUCCAUACUGCUUUCCAGACUGGUUGCACCAAUUUUCAGUACCACCAGCAAU
rnacentral:pre_miRNA from 1 species